rnacentral:rRNA from 1 species
GACGAACGCUGGCGGCGUGCUUAACACAUGCAAGUCGAACGGAAAGGCCCUGCUUUUGUGGGGUGCUCGAGUGGCGAACGGGUGAGUAACACGUGAGUAACCUGCCCUUGACUUUGGGAUAACUUCAGGAAACUGGGGCUAAUACCGGAUAGGAGCUCCUGCUGCAUGGUGGGGGUUGGAAAGUUUCGGCGGUUGGGGAUGGACUCGCGGCUUAUCAGCUUGUUGGUGGGGUAGUGGCUUACCAAGGCUUUGACGGGUAGCCGGCCUGAGAGGGUGACCGGCCACAUUGGGCCUGAGAUACGGCCCAGACUCCUACGGGAGGCAGCAGCGGGGAAUAUUGCACAAUGGGCGGAAGCCUGAUGCAGCAACGCCGCGUGCGGGAUGACGGCCUUCGGGUUGUAAACCGCUUUCGCCUGUGACGAAGCGUGAGUGACGGUAAUGGGUAAAGAAGCACCGGCUAACUACGU